UUGAAUAGGCAAUCCACAGCCACAGGAGCCAGACUCAGCCUGUUCUUGGGAUAGCUACAAGGAGAGACUUCAUAACCGGAAGAUUCUGAAUGCUUAUGUCUGUUUUGCCGAGAUUCACAUGUUGAGAGACCAACCCAAAGGGAAAACCGACGCGUGAGAGAGACAGUGCAGAGGGAACUGAGCUUUUUGGAAAUCCCGCCUGGUGUCUGGAAACCCCCUGAGUUCCUGGGAUCCUUUUGGGGCUUUGACCUUUCAGGUGAUUGGCUUGGCAUGACUCAUACAACAGACGCGGGAUCCAAGACAGCACUGUUGUUUUCUCUGUGUUUGACCUUGUGGAGAUUGCACCGAGCUGGUUUGUGCCUGUUUCCUCAGGUCAAUGGGAGUGCUAGGUGGCCAGACUGGAUCUAGUCAGUGGUGCCUAGGGGGAGACCAUUGAGAAGGUAAUUUUCUUGGCUCUGCUUCUUAUGUAAUUGGGCAUUGAUUAACAUCUGAUCCAAAUGACCUCAGUAAGACAGUGAUGUUUCCAGUACCUACCACAUCCCAUAGAGUGAGUUUGAGUAUGUGACCGACCUACUCUUCCCUCACACUGAAAUGACUACAGUGAGA